CCUACGGGAGGCAGCAGUGGGGAAUAUUGCACAAUGGGGGAAACCCUGAUGCAGCGACGCCGCGUGAGUGAAGAAGUAUUUCGGUACGUAAAGCUCUAUCAGCAGGGAAGAAAAUGACGGUACCUGACUAAGAAGCACCGGCUAACUACGUCCCAGCAGCCGCGGGAAUACGUAGGGGGCAAGCGUUAUCCGGAUUUACUGGGCGUAAAGGGGGCUUAGACGGCAGCGCAAGUCUGGAGGGAAAUCCCAGGGCUUAACCAUGGAACGGCUGUGGAAACUGUGCAGCUGGAGUGCAGGAGAGGUAAGCGGAAUUCCUAGUGUAGCGGUGAAAUGCGUAGAUAUUAGGAGGAACACCAGUGGCGAAGGCGGCUUACUGGACUGUAACUGACGUUGAGGCUCGAAAGCGUGGGGAGCAAACAGGAUUAGAUACCCUGGUAGUC
rnacentral:rRNA from 1 species